AUUGGAACAUCCAAAGAAUCACUUAAGAAAAUUCUUGUGAGGGGAGAAUUUGAUGAGUUCCCGGAUGACAAACACAUGCAUUGCAAGGCUAGGCUUGUUGAGAUGCUCAAUAAGUGCUCAGAUCAGCUUCACGAGUGCAAUGUGAGUGACCCCAAAAGUAAUUUCUUACUGGAGGAGAUUGCGAUUUUGGAGGAGGCCAAAGGUAUCAACCUUCCCAAUUUUGUUCCGCGCAAUGCUUUUCUUAUAGUUUUGCAGGGUAAAGUUAAGGGGAUUUCGAGCAUACCUAUUGGGUUUGUUGAGCAGGUUUGGAGUUAUAUUGAGGAUGUGGUUUUGUCUGUGUUAAGGAGAAAUACAGAAAACUAUUACCAUGUUCAAUUGUCUGCCAGAAGAGCAGGCCAUAAUCUUAUUGAAAAGAUGAAAGAAAGGUCGAUCAAUUGGAUGACGGAGAUAGUGGAAAUGGAGAAACUAACUGAUUAUACAUGUAAUCCGGAAUAUCUAUCCGAAUGGCAUAGGCUCAUGACUGAACAAGAAACAUUCAUCCAAAAGGUCUUGCGUGACGCUGAGAUAAACAUAAAUGUAAAGGGAAUUGGGAUGGUUGAAGUUGGAGGUCUAAGGAAGUACACACAUGUCCUGUUGUCUCAAGCUUUCGACUUGAAAAUGCGGAUGACUGCGUAUUGGAAUAUUGUGCUGAGAAGGUUGAUUGAUAUCAUGGGUUUGCAUUUGCAGCUGAGUGUUUCAAACCUUGUGAACAAGGACCUGGAGAUGGAGAUUAUGAAUGAGCUACUGGGACCUAACCAUGGUGGUGGGAUUGAGAGGAUGCUGGAGGAACCUCCAUCAAUGGCAGUGAAGCGCCAGAAGCUUAUCAAGAGCAUCAAAAAGCUCAAGGAGUCUAAAGAGGUUGUGUGUAAGAUCAUGGACGACAGGUUUACUUACGCUGAUUACCUUGUGUGAUAGAUAACUAAGGGGUCCAGUUAAAUUAUGGUAUGUUUCGUGUGAAAGAAGGCAUUUUGCCAAUGAUGUGUGGUUGAUCUGUUUGUACUUAAUUAUGGAUCUGCAUUUUGUUUAUCAUGUACCUGGUUGGUUGAUGUUCUUGUGUGACUUAAUUAUAAGCACAUUCUGUUUUUGUCUUUUGGGUUGCUAAACCUUACCCGGCUUGCUCCUGGAAUAGGAGGAAAUUUCUAUCCUCUGUUCCUUCCUAGAUCUUUUAAUUCAUGACACUGUGGGUGAUGGUAGAAACACCUUCCUUUGUCAUGAUCACAAUUGGAACCCUUUUGGGGGCUUUUGCCUUUGAGUUGGGACCCUUGUUAGUCUUCCAUUUGGUCAAUGGGAAUCUAUUGGUAUUUGCUUUUGCCACGCUCAAUGAGAAUAAUUAAUCACUUCCCAAUGGAACUCUGGCCUUCUAAGCACUUGUUCUUUAGAAUGUUAUAGGCCCUGUUUGAUUGGCCGGAUUGGAUUAGCUAGAUUCAAUUAAAAUGGACAUGGAUCCUAACCAUUGUUUG
rnacentral:lncRNA from 1 species